UGGGAGGGUUUGGGUCUUAGCAAAGUGAGACCCCGCCCCUACUGUCACCCGGAGCUGAAAGCAGGGCUUCUGUGCGAAGGAACUUUGGCUGGUGGUUGGAGAGGGUCCCGAUGGGGAAGACCCUGCGUGAGAGAUUCCUGAGCCGGUCUCUGAGUCUGGGCACCGUCAGAGGACAUGUGGACAGUGGGCGCUCCCAUCCUGAUGAUGGCAGGUUCAUCUUCUUGGUCUUGUCUUCCCUGACGUGUAUGCAACUUGCUCAGUGGCAUAGAGCGAGUUGUGGGGUGCGGGCUGUGCUGGGCAGGAUCCUGUGCUCGUGGUCAACUUAGGGGAAGGGAAUUUACUGUAUUGCCAAGCUCUAUAACCAGCCAUAAAGAUGUAAAACCAGGCUCAGGAAGAAAGAAUAAAAAACCAAGAAAGUACUAGAGUCCUUUCGUGGAACAGGAACUAUCUGAUGGUCUCUGUAAGUCACCACUGCUGGGUGCUAUUGUAUUUUUUUUAAACAUGCAUGCAUAUAGCUCUUACUAUUAUAAUAUGUAUAUACGAGUGUGUUUAAUCUUCAUAACAGUGCUGUGAGGGCAAUAAUUUUAUCAUCCCUGCAUUUUAGACAAGGAAACUGAGGCACAGGAGAGUUUGAAAUGACUUGCCUGUGGCUAGUGGCAACCAAAGUAAGAGGCAGCCGAGUUAAGAUUUAAGCUGAAGUAGUUAGUUUUGGGGAUAUUAUUGCUUUUUCCAUUGAAAUAAAAGGCCCAAAGAUGGGGUAGUCUGGCUAUUAGCUCCCUGAAGGUCUUGAGAAGUCUUUCUUAUCCACUUUGCAAGCUUCUUUUUCUGAGGUCUCAUGGUCCAAAAAGGCUGCUGGAGCUCCAUUCAUUGCAUCCACAUUCCAGGAAGAAGAGUGGUGGUAAUGGGAGGAGGAAGACAGAAAGCUGCCCUCUCAACUGAGUCAACACUUUAAGAUAUUUUCUUGGAAGUCCUACCCAAUAGCUUUUGCUUACCUCUCAACAACAAUAGUAAGUAGAAUAAGAAUAGAAAUAAUAAUAAAUAGAAAUCCUUGUGCCAACUUUCCUCUUUCUGGGCUCAGGUAGUAGGAACCAUGUGCAAUUAUCAUAAAAUCAGCCAUAUCCUGGUUAACGCUUGAAUUCCUAUAUUUAAAAAUGCCGUAGGUAACUCGUUAUGAAAACAGCCCUCAUUAUGCAGGUACGGAGCACAAUUACUGGGAUGCUGGUGGGUUUAGUUAAAUAAUUAGAGCGAGCUGCUAAAGACCUUCUCGUUGUUUCUGUAUUUAGAUUAAAUCGGCAUUACUGAUUCUCCGUGGCAAGGCUUGCUUUCAAGUUCUUAUUGGUGUAAUUAAGUGAGGUACUUUGCAAAGAAGACGCCCCCUGUUUACUUUUACACUCCAGGAGACCCAGCAAUUACCUUCUCCAGCCCUGGGAGGGUGUGAGAAGACACAGCCGCUGCUCGCAGCUGGUCUGACAGGCAUGCCGCUUUGUUUCAUGAAUGCAGAACCCAGCACACCAUCAAACGCAGAUUUAAGCGCCAGAUCAUUUCAAGUAGAUGUCUGGGGUUUGUUUGUUUGUUUGUUUUUCCAUUGGGACAACUUCACCAGUGUCCCUGAGAUCUUCGGGACUUGGAGACGGGUGGGUGCUGGGACGAAUUUGGCAGCAAAUUCGUCAUCCUGGGCAAGGUGGCUUGCCCUUUCUGGACCUCAGUUUCCUCCCGUGCAAAGUGGGGAUAAUCACAGUUCACGAGCAAGAGGUGUUUCCCCCACCAUUGGAUUUUGAUUAACCGUGAAGCUGUGCAAAAAGCAAAGGGCAGAACAGAGAAGCCAGAAUCACUGAGGAGCAAGCAGCUUUCCCUCCCCCGCAAAUAUCCCCCCCACCCGUGCAUUUCUUCUUUCCCAUUUUGACCCUCCUCCCCUCCCCCAGGCGGCUCCUUCCUGGCGGGCUUAUCAAGAGACAAUUGGUAGUGUUUGACACAAAGGUUUCGAAUGGCAAAAUAUACCGCUGAAGAUACUUACGUUCUUGAAUGUGUAUGACGGUGUUCUGUAUCACUAUAUAGAAUAUAAAAAAAAAAA